rnacentral:rRNA from 14 species
GCUUAUGACCAUACCAUCCAGAACACACCCCAUCUUGUCCAUCUCGGAAGCUAAGCAGGGUCUGGCCUGGUUAGUCUUGGAUGGAAAUGAAGUUCUAUGUC